AACUGCUUAUCCCCAACCAAUUUGGCAACAAUUUCAAUGCAGUUGCGCUCCGACAAUCUGGAGAGAAUAGGCAUGACGGGAAAGACAAGGGAAAGACAGAAGAAAAUCAUUUGGGAACCACUUAAACAGAAAAGAAUCAGCGUGAUUACUUCACAGGAUCAAGGACAACAAAAGGCCCUUCUCUCCCCUUGCAGAAAAGGCUAAGCAUUGUGCACAUAGCCGUGGAUACCGCACCACCACUCAUCUACUGCAUGCAGCAUCUUAGGUUGCGGUACCAGAUAAAACGGCAGAGGCAGGCUCCUACAGUCUUGCUGCAUUAAGUAUAAGGAUUGACUUCUGUUUACAUAUAUUAAUUGUGUCCAAAAUAAUAAAAUAAUAAUAAUAAUAAUAAUAAUAAUAAUAAUAAAGUAAUUGGUCUACUGUAAUUGAAUAUGAAUAACAAUUACAUGCUUCACUGCACAUG